CAGUAUUUACCGCAUGGUAGAUAUUUGAAAGGAGCAAUUGCUUCACUAUGAGAUGGACCUGCGUUGUAUUAGCUAGUUGGUGAGGUAACGGCUCACCAAGGCAUCGAUACAUAGCCGACCCGAGAGGGUGAUCGGCCACACUGGGACUGAGACACGGCCCAGACUCCUACGGGAGGCAGCAGUAGGGAAUCUUCGGCAAUGGGGGCAACCCUGACCGAGCAACGCCGCGUGAGUGAAGAAGGUUUUCGGAUCGUAAAGCUCUGUUGUAAGAGAAGAACUGUGAGAAGAGUGGAAAGUUUCUCACUUGACGGUAUCUUAC
rnacentral:rRNA from 1 species